GGUCCCUGUGAGACGAUGCCCAUUGACAUAAACCCGUAGAUCCGAUCUUGUGGUGAAGUGGACCGCGCAAGCUCGUUUCUAUGGGUCUGUGGCAGUGUGGUGAUCUGACAAAGCACUAUG
rnacentral:precursor_RNA from 7 species